CAGGAUGAACGCUAGCGACAGGCUUAACACAUGCAAGUCGAGGGGCAGCACGGGAGUAGCAAUACAACUGGUGGCGACCGGCGCACGGGUGAGUAACGCGUAUGCAACCUACCUAUCAGAGGGGAAUAACCCGGCGAAAGUCGGACUAAUACCGCAUAAAACAGGGGCACCGCAUGGUGAUAUUUGUUAAAGAAAUUCGCUGAUAGAUGGGCAUGCGUUCCAUUAGGUAGUUGGUGAGGUAACGGCUCACCAAGCCGACGAUGGAUAGGGGAACUGAGAGGUUGGUCCCCCACACUGGUACUGAGACACGGACCAGACUCCUACGGGAGGCAGCAGUGAGGAAUAUUGGUCAAUGGGCGAGAGCCUGAACCAGCCAAGUCGCGUGAAGGAAGAAGGAUCUAUGGUUCGUAAACUUCUUUUGCAGGGGAAUAAAGUGCGGGACGUGUCCUGUUUUGUAUGUACCCUGAGAAUAAGGAUCGGCUAACUCCGUGCCAGCCGCGGC
rnacentral:rRNA from 1 species